GUCUAUUUGGAGAUAUAAGAAGUUUAACCUGCCCACUGAUAAAAAUUUAAAGGCCGCAGUAUUUCUAACUGUGCAAAGGUAGCAUAAUCGUUUGUUUUUUAAUUGGAAUCUUGUAUGAAUGGUUUGACAAGAAAAAAUCUGUCUUUAUAAGUUAUUUAUUGAAUUUAAUUUUUAAGUGAAAAAGCUUAAAUAAAUUAAAAAGACGAUAAGACCCUAUAAAACUUAAUAUUAAUUAUUUAUUUAAUAGAAUUUUAUAGUAAUAAAUAUUUAAUAAAUAGUUAUUAUUUUAUUGGGGUGAUAAUGGUAAAAUUAUUAUUAACUGUUAAUAUAUUUUAUAACAAAAAUUAUUGAAUAAAGAAAAUUUAAAGUAAAUGAUCCUUAUUAAAGAUUAAAAGUUUAAGUUACUUUAGGGAUAACAGCGUUAUUUUUUUUGAGAGUUCUUAUCGAGAAAAAAGUUUGCGACCUCGAUGUUGAAUUAAAAUAUCUAUAUAAUUGUAGUAGUUAUAUAAGAAGGUCUGUUCGACCUUUAAAUUUUUACAUGAUUUGAGUUCAAACCGGUGUAAG
rnacentral:rRNA from 1 species